UUUCGAUGAUACGCGAGGAACCUUACCUGGGCUUAAAUGGGGAGUGACAGCUGUCGAAAGAUGGUUUUCUUCGGACACUCUUCAAGGUGCUGCAUGGUUGUCGUCAGCUCGUGCCGUGAGGUGUCGGGUUAAGUCCCAUAACGAGCGCAACCCUUACCGUUAGUUACCAUCAGGUUAAGCUGGGGACUCUAGCGGGACUGCCACCGUAAGGUGAGAGGAAGGUGGGGAUGACGUCAAAUCAGCACGGCCCUUAUGUCCAGGGCUACACACGUGUUACAAUGGCCAGUACAAAGGGCAGCUACCGGGUGACCGGAUGCUAAUCUCUAAAGCUGGUCUCAGUUCGGAUCGAAGUCUGCAACCCGACUUCGUGAAGCUGGAUUCGCUAGUAAUCGCGCAUCAGCCAUGGCGCGGUCGAAUACGUUCCCGGGCCUU
rnacentral:rRNA from 1 species